CCUACGGGUGGCAGCAGUGAGGAAUAUUGGUCAAUGGGCGUAAGCCUGAACCAGCCAAGUCGCGUGAGGGAUGAAGGAUCUAUGGAUCGUAAACUUCUUUUAUAAGGGAAUAAAGUGCGGGACGUGUCCCGUUUUGUAUGUACCUUCUGCAUAAGGAUCGGCUAACUCCGUGCCAGCAGCCGCGGUAAUACGGAGGGUCCGAGCGUUAUCCGGAUUUAUUGGGGUUAAAGGGUGCGUAGGCGGCUGUGUAAGUCAGCGGUGAAAGUCUGUGGCUCAACCCUAGAAUUGCCGUUGAAACUGGGAGGCUUGAGUAUGUGUGAGGCAGGUGGAAUGCGUGGUGUAGCGGUGAAAUGCUUAGAUAUCACGAAGAACCCCGAUUGCGAAGGCAGCCUACCAAGCCAUGACUGACGCUGAGGCACGAAAGCGUGGGGAUCAAACAGGAUUAGAUACCCCUGUAGUC
rnacentral:rRNA from 1 species